UUAAGUCAAAUUUGUAUGGAGUUGGAACGUUUGCCUAUGUUUGCCGAUUCUGUUCCAGCUGCAUACAAAUCUCAGGUA
rnacentral:pre_miRNA from 1 species